CCUCCACCAUGCUGCAAAUGAAAAUGCUCUCAAAUCUUCACCCCUAUCCUUUGUGCAACCUCCUUAAAGGAGUGGACAUCGCUUCCCCAUAGCCAAGCAUCACAGCCCGCAUCUCUUGCACCCCAUAUAUCAUUCCUACGAUCAUCACCUACAUGCACAGCAUCCUCAGGUUUUACUCCCAGUAACUCACAGGCCUUUAGAAAUAUUGUUGGAUUUGGCUUCUCAGCAGCAACUUCAGCUGAAACUGCCACAGCAUCAAACCAAUGAUCACAAUUUAAGGCCCGCAGAAGAGGUCUAAGUCGAGUGUCAAAAUUAGACACAACAGCCAACUUUACACCUGCCUUUCUAAUAGCCUUGAAUACUUUCUCAGCAUCAGGAUCACAAAGGUGCCAAGCCUUUUCAGUAGUAUAGUAGUUAUAAAGUUCUUCAAAGUACUGAGAAUCUGAGCAGCCAGUAGAAGAACUGACUAUGAAUUGCCAGAAAGGUCUUCCAUCAUUUACAUAUCUGAGCCGAGAUCUACCCCAAGGUUGCUCAUAAGCCCUUCUAUAUCUGUUCAGUAUCUCAUCCUCUGAGUAUUCCACUCCAUACUUCUGCCCUAUCUUUCUAUAUAUCUGGGCCAUGGGCUGCGAAGGAACAACAAGAGUACCAACGGCAUCAACAAGCAAAGCCUUAUGAGUAAUUUCACCAUACAAAGACCUUCUAUAAUCCUCAUAAUCUUUCACUCCUAAUAUCUCCAACCCAACUCCUCUGGACCCAACCACAUCCACAUCCGCCUCAGUUGCCACCGCAGCCGCAGCAGCAGAAGACGAAUACCGGGCCAGUCCAGCAGAGCAUGCUGCGGAUCUUGUGGAAUUCAGGAUUCUGUUACUGUUAUUGUUAACAAAAACAGAAAGAAACCUUAUUAGUUUUGUUCUUGCUGCCAUUAUUGUCAUUUUGGUUUCUACAUUUGGCGAAUCCUCUGCGACUCUUGGAUGUAGUUCUUGUUCUUCUGUGAUGAAAGUGGCAAAGAGACCGC
rnacentral:misc_RNA from 1 species